GAUGAACGCUGGCGGCGUGCCUAAUACAUGCAAGUCGAGCGAACAGACGAGGAGCUUGCUCCUCUGACGUUAGCGGCGGACGGGUGAGUAACACGUGGAUAACCUACCUAUAAGACUGGGAUAACUUCGGGAAACCGUAGCUAAUACCGGAUAAUAUUUUGAACCGCAUGGUUCAAUAGUGAAAGACGGUUUUGCUGUCACUUAUAGAUGGAUCCGCGCCGCAUUAGCUAGUUGGUAAGGUAAAGGCUUACCAAGGCAACGAUGCGUAGCCGACCUGAGAGGGGGACCCGCCACACCGGAACUGAGACACGGGCCAGACUCCUACGGGAGGCCGCAGUUGGGAAUUUUGCCCAAUGGGCGAAAGCCUGACCGAGCAAAGCCGGGUGUGUGAUGAAGGGCUUCGGGUUGUAAAACACUUUUUGUGGGGAAGAAAAGAAGUGUAACGAAACGAGGAUCGUCUGACGGUACCCGAAGAAAAAGCCCCGGCUAACUACGUG
rnacentral:rRNA from 1 species